UAUUUUUCAAUUAUAAUCAAAAUAUUUCAAUAAUUAUAAAAUAUAAAGUAUGUCAACAAGAAUUUCAUAAUAUUUAAUGCAUCUAUCAACAUAAAUUUUCAAAAUACCUAAUACAAUUAAUCAAGAAAUAAAUUUCCAAACCAAAGUAUGUAAAUCAUCUACUCUCUCUUAGCUUUUACAACUAUGGUGCCAAUCAAUGCUAGGACAAGAUCCGAAAAAGACUAACUCCUCAAUAUAGUACACAUUGUCCAUCAGCAUGUGCCAACGAUUAGCCCAAACUAGCAUAUAUGCCCGAAAGAAACUAGUUUUAGUUCACAUGGCUGCUAUUCAUCUUAUGACAAAGCAAAAAGACUGGCUUCUUAGUACAAAAUAUGUUGUCCAUCAGCAUAUGCCAGUAAUCAGCCCCAAUUGGCUAGGCCCGAAAUAAACUAGCUCUGCCGGCGAUUAGCUUCAAUUGGCUAGGACUGAAAAAACUAGUUUCUAAAUGUGUAUCCAAUAUUAAUCAAUCCAUUGGCUAGACGCAAAUUAUAGUCAGACUAGAGAAUAAUCAAUAAAUCCAUUGUAAAACCAAUUUUCUCAAAAAAAUAAUGAGUACAAUUCUUUCAUAUCGAUAUUAAAUCAGGAUUAAACAUCUUGUUUCGAAUACUAUAUUGUGUAAAUUUGUUAUCAUACUUAUGAUCAUGCUCAAACA
rnacentral:lncRNA from 1 species